rnacentral:rRNA from 1 species
AACGAACGCUGGCGGCAUGCCUAACACAUGCAAGUCGAACGAGACCUUCGGGUUUAGUGGCGCACGGGUGCGUAACGCGUGGGAACCUGCCCUUAGGUUCGGAAUAACUCCCCGAAUGGGGUGCUAAUACCGGAUAAUGUCUCCGGACCAAAGAUUUAUCGCCUUUGGAUGGGCCUGCGUUGGAUUAGCUAGUUGGUAGGGUAAAAGCCUACCAAGGCGACGAUACAUAGCUGGUCUGAGAGGAUGAUCAGCCACACUGGGACUGAGACACGGCCCAGACUCCUACAGGAGGCAGCAGUGGGGAAUAUUGGACAAUGGGCGAAAGCCUGAUCCACCAAUGCCGCGUGAGUGAUUAAGGCCUUAGGGUUGUAAAGCUCUUUUACCCGGGAUGAUAAUGACAGUACCGGGAGAAUAAGCACCGGCUAACUCCGUG